rnacentral:RNase_P_RNA from 1 species
GGGCAGGGCGGUGGGUAACACCCACCCGGAGUGAUCCGCGAGACAGUGCCACAGAGAGCAGACCGCCUCGGUUCCGACCGGGGUAAGGGUGAAAGGGUGGUGUAAGAGACCACCGGGGUCGUGGUGACACGACCCGCACGGUAAACCUCGCCCGGAGCAAGGUCAGACAGGGGAUGUGGACGCGGCCCGCCGAGUCCCCGGGUAGACCGCUGGAGCGGCACGGCAACGUGUCGCCGAGAGAGAUGACCGUCCACGGAGCAGGCCCGCGCGUGCUCCCGGACAGAACCCGGCGUACAGGCCGGCCCA